AACGUAGGACACAAGCGUUAUCCGGAGUUACUGGGCGUAAAGGGCGCGUAGGCGGCACCGCAAGUCGACUGUGAAAUCUCCGGGCUUAACCCGGAAAGGUCAGCCGAUACUGCGGGGCUAGAGUGCAGAAGGGGCAACUGGAAUUCUUGGUGUAGCGGUGAAAUGCGUAGAUAUCAAGAGGAACACCUGCGGCGAAGGCGGGUUGCUGGGCUGACACUGACGCUGAUGCGCGAAAGCUAGGGGAGCGAACGGG
rnacentral:rRNA from 1 species